AUAUUUUAAUCCAAUCAUAUAGCCACGUCAGUCAUAGACAUUAGGCAUAGAAUCUUUUGAUCUCCCGGUUUCCAAAACCUCUGCCUCUUCAAUUUCCUGUUAUAUCCCGACUCCUGCUACAUGUUUCCUCUUAUCUCAUCACUCCUGCCAAGUGAUGAAUAAAUUCUUGCUGGCCGCAUUUUAUUUGUUCUGGUUUUAGCGAAUAAUCGACAUGUUCUUUGACAAUCAGCAAAAAAGCGUGCCUUCAAUGUGUUCGCAUAAAUGAUUGAGUGCCUUCUAUGUAUCGGAUGUCUUGCGGAGCUAAUAAAAUCAAUCACACUGUCUUUCAGGAAUAACAAACAUGUCACAAAAAGGUUUAUGGAUUCGAGCAAUCUAGGUAUGGUGGCAUUACAUCCUCUCUCACAUGAAUUUACAUCUCAGCAGACAACACACUCUUAUUGACAAAGCUCGAGCCUUUCCACCUUUAAUCACUUGUGAGUGGUUUGAUAUCAGAUGGUGUUCUUGCAUAAGACAUCCAGGAAGUAUCAUCAUUUCGACAUCCGCGAGGGCUGUGCUGGGAAGUGUGAGUGAUUACUGUGCUCAUCGUGCUCAUUGCAUGGUGACAAUCGUCAAGAAGCCUAAAAACAAGUACUAAGGUUCCUUGAUCGAGGGCUAUGAUUCUUUAACCAUACCCACUUCUAUUGUGUACUCUCCUCAUUUUAAGCCCCCAAAAUUAGAGCCUAUUUCAGGUGAUUCUUAAUGUGUAUAUAAUGCUGCAACAUGGGGGUUUGUUGAGCCAUUUUAUUCCAUUUCACAAUGCCAUGUCAGAGCCUUGUCCGCAAUUUAAUCCACCUCAGCAACAGCCGCUUCAGGCUUCCUACCCUUUAUUGCAACCGAUUAUAACUUGUUUUGAUGCCCGACUGUCCCUAUCCUCCGCACAGCUCUCAGUUCUGUUUUAUAGUUCUCAUAUGAGUACUUGAUGUCGCAGAUAAGUCAUAUGAGGUAUGGAUGCUACAAAUUCUGUUCAUCCCUUGAAAGGUCCACCACGAAAUACAAGCUGCAGUAGGAUCUAUGUCUCCAGCUUGGAGGGUCAGGAUUUUAGAGCAAGUAAAUGUGUAGUGGCAGGACUUUUAUGAUGGAAAGUUGAAGGCUAAUGAUUUCACUUUAGAUUACUUUUUCUAUGCUUUAUAAUAUGGUUUCUUUUUAUAAAUGUGUCAGAAGUCUGUAGUUACUACAUAUUCAACAGGAAGGUUCUAUGCAGGCUUCCAACUAUCAUUAGUCCUCUAUCUCUACAUAUUUCUGUAUAGUUUAGAUGACCACAGUGACAAUCAUUUGUAUAUACAUGAAAAAUUGUAAAUUUUAAACUGCAUUAAUUUUUUGUUCAUAUACUGUUAUAGGAAAUAAUCAUAUAAAAGACGUGCUUGUUAAACAUAUGGGAAUCUCUGACAAGGAUAUAGUUACACUGUCUGCCCACUGGGAAGGGCUCACAAGGAGCGCUCUAGGUUUGAGGGACCCUAGACCAUCAAUCCUCUUUAAAUUUGCUAGAGAUCAGCGUGGCAAGUAUAGCGUAGGUAAGGAGGCUGAAAUUUUUUAUAACUCCACUAUCAUUUGGGAUGAGUUUGUCUGGGGAGGUGCGUGGAUGUAUUAUGCUACAGGAAAUAAUUCUUACCUCUCCCUUUCUACUAAUAUUAAAAUGACCACACAUGCUGGUGCUUUUUGGGGAGGCCAAGAUUAUGGUGUACUUAGUUGGGAUAACAAGCUUGCGGGAGCUUAGUGCAGAACAGGUAAAGUGUCGAAACUUAUCUGCAUAACUUCUCAGAUAUGCCGUUUUGCACAUUUAAGAUGAUUCUUUCGCAAAUACCAUUUUAAAGAAACUACUGAUCUGAUGCCUCAGCCUCUUCAAUAUCUUGUCAAUGCUGCAUUUUUGGCUACAUUAUUUAGUGACUAUAUGGAUGCUGCGGAUACACCUGGAUGGUCCUGGGGACCAAAUCUCUACUCAAUGAUAUUCUCCGUUCAUUUGCUCAGACCCAGGACAAUGUCAUUGCUUAGUGAUGCCAGUUGUUUAUCUGUCUGCUCAAAAUGUGGUGCAACAAAAAGCCACAGAAACUCCUACCAAGAGGUUGAUCAAUUGAUUUUCACAAUAAUGAUGCUAAAAGUAAUUUAAUGGAUCUGCAGACUCUUCGCGUCGAGAAAAUGACACAUUCAAAAAGCGCUCUGACUACGUACAGGUACCAGCCUUCCAGUUAGUGCUGGCUACCUUGGUGAUGAUAUAGUGGAAGAACCAAAAAAAACCUUGACGGAAUGUUAUUAUGAUUUUGUGUUUGAUUCUCAAUAAUUUCUAUGUAAUUUAUGAUAUUUAUUCAAGAAUUUCAAUAACACUUUUCCUUUAGAGAGAGUAAUAGUUGAUCUAAUCUAUGUCUCUAGCAGAAUAUCGGUGGUCUUCUUUUCCUUAUGAUGUUGGAAUGUCCAAAAACGUAUGAUAUUGGAUUCAUCUUAAAUAUUA